rnacentral:lncRNA from 1 species
GCAGAAAGAACUUUACCCCUGGGCACUGCAGAAUGUUCUUUGGAGCUGGAGGAAGAGGGGGAGACUUCCGUGCCUGGAGGAAGACAGGAACGUGUCUCAGAGUCACAUGGGAAGUUCCGACCCCAGCAGACAGCAGAACACUGCAGCGGCAGACACAGGAGCCUGGGGCCGAACAUGGAGUAGACUCCGAGACACAAUUCAACAUUUCCUCCCAAGCAGUUGCUGAGCAUCAGCUCUCCCAGAAUGACCUUGGAUGGAAGCUGCUGGUGCCUGUGGCUCUGACCAAGAUAAGACCAGCAGGAAAGCAAGGCUAACAACCAAGUUUACGCAGGAUGAAAGCAGCCCAGAAAGGUAUCCUAAGGCUCAACCUCACCUAGAGUUUGCAUUCCUUCUCAAUCCCUCCACCCACUGACACUGUCACAAAGAGCAACAGGGCCGGAGGGGUGGGCUGGGACAGAUG